rnacentral:rRNA from 1 species
AUUGAACGCUGGCGGCAUGCCUUACACAUGCAAGUCGAACGGUAACAGGUUAAGCUGACGAGUGGCGAACGGGUGAGUAAUGUAUCGGAACGUGCCCAGUCGUGGGGGAUAACUGCUCGAAAGAGCAGCUAAUACCGCAUACGACCUGAGGGUGAAAGCGGGGGAUCGCAAGACCUCGCGCGAUUGGAGCGGCCGAUAUCAGAUUAGGUAGUUGGUGAGGUAAAGGCUCACCAAGCCGACGAUCUGUAGCUGGUCUGAGAGGACGACCAGCCACACUGGGACUGAGACACGGCCCAGACUCCUACGGGAGGCAGCAGUGGGGAAUUUUGGACAAUGGGCGCAAGCCUGAUCCAGCCAUGCCGCGUGCGGGAAGAAGGCCUUCGGGUUGUAAACCGCUUUUGUCAGCGAAGAAAAGGUUCUGGCUAAUACCUGGGACUCAUGACGGUACCUGAAGAAUAAGCACCGGCUAACUACGUG